GGGCGGUUUUCCGCGACGGCCGCGGGAGAGUCGCGGCGGCGUGUGUGUGCGCCCGCGACACCCGCGGCCGGUUCCUUGACGAGCGGGGGUCGGGGGGUGGUCGCCACCUCGCGCGCCUCCGCUUCCCCCUGCCCUGCGCCCACGUGAGGGUGCGGGAGCCGCCCGGAGGGAAACCAGGCUCUAACGCGAGCGAGGGAGAGCCGCGGCUUGGGAGGGGCUCGGCGAGCGGCAGCCGGCCCCCCUGCAACCCUGCCUUAGCCCCUCUCCGGAGGAGUCCCGCCGGGAGGCGAGAGUCCGCCGGCUCACCCCGCCCGAGGGGUGGCCGGCGGUGGCCUCCCCGGGCUCGACGGGAGCGGGGCUGGGUGUC
rnacentral:lncRNA from 1 species